AACCCCUCACGCCUAGCGUGGUCUUGGGGCACGCGGUCUCGCGGCCCUCAAAAUUAGUGGCGGCGCCGGUGGGCUCUAAGCGUAGUACAUACUCCCGCUAUAGAGUUCCCCCGGUGGCUCGCCAGAACCCCCACUUUUUUACA
rnacentral:misc_RNA from 1 species